AGCCAACACUCUCCGGUCACAGCAAGUGUCACAGACCCUUGGGGGCCAGACAUGUUCAACCAGACGAUCGGGCGGGGUGAUGGGCUUUUGGGGUGGGUCCUAUGUAUGUGAAGGAGAGUGAACGAAUCAUUUGCCAAAGUGAUUCGUUCUUUUUUCCGUCCAUAUGACUUUAACCAGUAGAUGUCGGUAAUGCGCAAUGAAGCUGGUGUAACCUCGCCGUAAAACAAAACGAAGAAGAAAUGACGUCUUUUCCCGUUUACGAACGUGUCGUGAAUUGCAUUUCCCGUGCACCAACGAACGGAUCUGUGAGUGAACGAGUGAUGAGCAGCAGCGGUGCCGCGCUCGAUUUGCAUUUCCAGUUCAUCGCGAGAACGGAGCAGUGAGGGACGGAAUCCUGACUUUCCCGUUCGCAAACGAGUCAAUGGAUGAUCUGCCUUCCUUGCGUGCAUCAACGGAUCAGUCAGUGGAGAUGUUGCGUCUUCCUCCUGGUGUGAACUACCAAGGGAACCACUCACUGAAACACCACUUCUUUUAUGCACGUUUUCUCCAAGCUAGCGGCUAACUUUAUCGCAUGAAGGGAUGCGCCGUUAUGCAUAAGCGGGGAGAUUAUGCUUCUCUUUGGGUAAUGUUGAUUUUAUAAGUUAAAAUGAGCGUGAGCAGCAGCGGAGCCCCAUUUCAACAUGUGACAAAAUGUGUAGGUACACCUUACGGACACUUCAAUAGGUACACUACACGAGGUAAAGUAAAAAAAGAAUAAAGUUUUAAUUGCACAAUAAAAGCAUACUGUUUCGACAUGACAAACUAUGGUCGAAUGCAAUGGUUUGUUGUAAUGGUGUGCAUCGCGGGCCAAUAGGGGAAAAGCUUGAGUGAAAAGUGUCACACCCACCCUUACCCCCACCUCCUGAUUGGCUGUUUGAGCUGUGGCGUCACUUGGACACUCCACUGCCCGCCUCCUACCUCCAAAUUCGUCUGACCAAUCAGAGCGCAGCUGAAAUGAGCCUGACCACGUCCACUUUUCCAACAGCCAAUCGGAAGGCGGUUUUAAAUUGACGACCACGCCUACUUCACAUCCCACCAAUCACAGGACCCCUCGUCUGCAUCACCACGCCCCCUUUUCAACCAAUCGGAUUUCAUUCUCAUUGCCCCGCCCACUUUAUGAAAUAAUAAAUGAAAACUUUUUGUAUUUACCGUUUUUUUUCAUGUAUAAUGCGCAAAAUUUAACUAAUUUAUUGUCCUAAAAUUUGGGGUGCGCAUUAUACAUGGGUAUAAAAAAAAAAGUUUUUUUUUUUUUUUUUUUUUUAAUCCGGAUAAAAAAAAAUAAUAAAAUGAUACGGAGGCCGCCAUUACAGAUGCGCUUUCUUCUCUGCUGUUCACUUCAAACACGCUCCAUACGAACACAAUACUCGUAUCAGACGCUUGCUCGAUCAGCUGCUCGUUUUGGGAGCUUAAGACCAGGGGAUGCUUUGAGAAUAAUUGUCAAUUUCUGUCUAUGUGAAGCCCUUUGAAACUGCUUGUGAUUUAAGGCUAUGCAAAUAAACUUGACUUGACUUGA